rnacentral:rRNA from 1 species
UACGUAGGGUGCGAGCAUUAAUCGGAAUUACUGGGCGUAAAGGGUGCGCAGGCGGUUCUGCAAGUCAGGCGUGAAAUCCCCGGGCUUAACCUGGGAAUGGCGCUUGAAACUACGGGACUGGAGUAUGGCAGAGGGAGGUGGAAUUCCACGUGUAGCGGUGAAAUGCGUAGAGAUGUGGAGGAACACCGAUGGCGAAGGCAGCCUCCUGGGCCAAUACUGACGCUCAUGCACGAAAGCGUGGGGAGCAAACAGG